rnacentral:rRNA from 1 species
GGAAAGCCGGUCUCAGUUCGGAUUGGGGUCUGCAACUCGACCUCAUGAAGUCGGAGUCGCUAGUAAUCGCAGAUCAGCAACGCUGCGGUGAAUACGUUCCCGGGCCUUGUACACACCGCCCGUCAAGUCAUGAAAGUUGGUAACACCCGAAGCCGGUGGCCUAACCGUUGUGGGGGAGCCGUCGAAGGUGGGACUGGUGAUUAGGACUAAGUCGUAACAAGGUAGCCGUAUCGGAAGGUGCGGCUGGAUCACCUCCUUUCUAAGGAG